rnacentral:sRNA from 1 species
AACAGGUCCCCUGUCCCCCUACCAACGCUUCACCCCCAGAUCACCAAGGGGAAGCUCCAUGGCUCCAUCGAUGUCCGGCUGUCGGUCAUGUCCAUCAACAAAAAGGCCCAGCGCAUUGACCUUGACACUGAAGACAACAUCUACCACCUCAAGAUCAAAUCCCAGGACCUAUUCCAGAGCUGGGUGGCGCAGCUGCGUGCCCACCGCCUAGCCCACCGCCUGGACAUGCCCCGUGGCUCACUGCCCAGUACUGCUCACCGGAAGGUUCCUGGUGCCCAGCUUCCAACAGCAGCUACUGCCUCAGCCCUACCUGGGCUUGGACCGCGGGAGAAAGUGUCUUCCUGGCUGAGGGACAGUGAUGGGCUGGACCGCUGCUCUCAUGAGCUCUCUGAGUGUCAGGGGAAGCUCCAGGAACUACACAGGCUCCUCCAGAGCCUGGAGUCCCUGCACCGAAUCCCCUCAGCCCCUGUUAUCCCCACACACCAGGCCUCAGUGACAACCGAAAGACCCAAGAAGGGGAAACGGACCAGCCGCAUGUGGUGCACCCAGAGCUUUGCCAAGGAUGACACCAUUGGACGGGUUGGUCGUCUCCACGGCUCUGUUCCCAACCUGUCUCGCUACCUGGAGUCUCGGGACUCCUCAGGCACCCGUGGGCUGCCACCCACAGACUAUGCCCACCUGCAGCGCA